AGUAAAGUAACAUAAUUGUUAUAAGAUACAUGACUCCACAAUAUUCAUAAAGGUGGUCUUUUACCCUACAGCAGUACAUGGUUUCAUUUGGUCAUCUGUAUUACAUGCUGUGCACAGAUUAUACAAGCAAUAAGAGUAAAGUAACAUAAUUGUUAUAAGAUACAUGACUCCACAAUAAUCAUAAAGGUGGUCUUUUACCCUACAGCAGUACAUGGUUUCAUUUGAGUUUUUAUCUCAUAUAUUACAUGUUGCCUUACAUAUUCAGUACAUUAUUUCGUACUGACGUCCCUCUUGGGGGACCUGCAUUCCAUGCUGCAGGUACAGAAGCUAAUAAACCUCCCUAGUAAGAGUACAGGAUAUCAACCGCAGUCACUGAGCUCCAGGUUGCUUCGGGGCUUUGAGUCUUAUCAUAUCUUUUUGUAUUGUAUAGUAUCUUAUCAUGAGGCGGGGUCUGUCCCGACCCUUGUAAGAUAAUGUUUCUUGUCUAGAGGCUUUGUAGACUACGUAAAGUAUAGUAUGGUCAUGUAUCGUACCGUAGACAUUGUGGCUCCAACGGCCUAGUCAUAUAAUAUCUUUUGGCUUGCUAGUCCUAUUUAUCUUUUGAGGGCAUGUUUAGUAUGAAAGUAACUUAUAAUGUUCAUAGGUAAUGUAUCGCUACAGGUUGGUUCUCCCGAGCCUUACCGGCAACGGG
rnacentral:lncRNA from 1 species